rnacentral:rRNA from 1 species
CGUGAGUAACCUGCCUUGGAGUGGGGAAUAACAGCUGGAAACAGCUGCUAAUACCGCAUAAAAUAUCUGUGUCGCAUGGCACUGGAUAUCAAAGAUUUAUCGCUCUGAGAUGGACUCGCGUCUGAUUAGCUAGUUGGCGGGGUAACGGCCCACCAAGGCGACGAUCAGUAGCCGGACUGAGAGGUUGGCCGGCCACAUUGGGACUGAGACACGGCCCAGACUCCUACGGGAGGCAGCAG